GACCGGCGCUCCCCGAUGGGAGAUGUAGUUCGGCCCCGGCGGGGCUGCUCCGGGGGGGAUGGAGCCGCUGGGGAUGCCCGGGGGACGCGUGAGGAUGCGGUUUCAGAUCUCUGGAAUUUAAAGCCAGUCAUAUGUUUUCUGCAAAGCCUCACACCUAAUUUUGGCCUAUGGGGGGUUAAUGCAGUAGCAGAGUGAUGACUGUGCUGUCUGGACAGCCUCCCUUCUGCCCUUGCUGCUUCCCCAGGGCUGAAAAAAGCUGCUUCAGCAACAGAGACAUCCUAAAGAGCUGCUGUGGAGUCUGCUCUUGGAUGGUCUUUCUGACAAAGCUCAGCAGGCAGUAGGAGCUGAUAGGCUUGAGGAAGGUUGGCAACAAAUGGAGUCGCAGCUUAUUUGGGUGGCAGAAGCAAGAAAGCCUAGGUGAAGAGCAAUGCUUCC